rnacentral:tRNA from 1 species
GGGCAGUUAGCUCAGUUGGAUAGAGCGUUGACCUCCGGAGUCAAAGGCCGUGGGUUCGAUUCCCGCAUUGCCCA